CGGACGGGUGAGUAAUGCCUAGGAAUCUGCCUGGUAGUGGGGGACAACGUUUCGAAAGGAACGCAAUACCGCAUACGCCUACGGGAGAAAGCAGGGGACCUUCGGGCCUUGCGCUAUCAGAUGAGCCUAGGUCGGAUUAGCUAGUUGGUGAGGUAAUGGCUCACCAAGGCGACGAUCCGUAACUGGUCUGAGAGGAUGAUCAGUCACACUGGAACUGAGACACGGUCCAGACUCCUACGGGAGGCAGCAGUC
rnacentral:rRNA from 1 species